GCUAGGGUUGGCAAUUUUCUAGAUCAGCCCAAUCGAGCCAGGCCAGGGCUAGGACUGAUGUCAAGUGACCUCAGGCUGGGCUCGAGUAUUUAACCCAGUCCAGCUUAUCCGAGUUGCAGCCCUAGCGGCUUCACUAGGGUUGGCAAUUUUCAUUUUUCUGGUCUUCUCUAUAAUAGCUUUUCCUAAUUUAGCUCGGAGUCUCGGAGUCUCGGAGUUUCGGAGUUACUUCCUGCACAUUUAACUGGAGCAGGUUGAUUGAAAUUCACAAUUGCCUCAUUGAAUGAGAAUGGAAGUGUCUUUGGAAAUUUGCAGUUAAACAGUGAGGCUAAGAUCACAUGUUCCUUGCACGUGGAGCUCACACGACAUUUCCUCCACACGGCAACAAGGGAGAAGAAAUGUCAGUUGGAAACACUCUUUCGAUACACUUCUCAAGAGUUGAACACUUGACCUCCCUGCUAUGAUACUUUCUUUUCUACCGAUUCACCUAAAAGCUCGAAUUGUUAGGGGAGGCAGCAUCAAUGUGUACAUCGCGAAUCGACUCUAUUCAAAUCAUACUUGUUACAGUGUUAGCUAUGCCUACCUUUGUUCAUCACAUUUCCUAUUGUCAUUUUAGGCCUGCCCUUAGCCUUUUUAGCUCCUCCAAUUUGAAUAUAUGACUCCUAACCUGUGUAUUGAAUGAUCUCUCUGUAGGUCAUGUCCAUGCCACUAUAAACAACUCUCUCUUGACUUAUCAUGUAAUGGAGCUACUACUAAAUUAGCUCCAGUUUGUUCACUUGUUAUUUAAACUUUUCUAGUUCUACAAGCAUCCAUAUCAACAUCCUCAUUUCGGAUACACCGAGUUUAUUUAUACAUUAUUUCUUUCCCACCCAA